rnacentral:misc_RNA from 1 species
UUGUUCUCCUUGCCAGCCCCGUGGUUCCAAGGUGGACGUGGAACCAGUUGCUGUGGCCCUGAAGCAAUCCUUUGGAGGCGGCUUUCUUGGUCCAUGGUUCUCUGUUUGUGCUCUCGGAUGCGGAAUACUAUGCGGACAAAGGGCCUUUGGCCUUUGGUUGCUCCGAAUCUAGUCCCUCAACGCAACGACUAUGUUACCUUAUUGGCCGGUGGGUUCCUUUGGUGCCA